rnacentral:lncRNA from 1 species
AAAUGUUUACAAUGAAUGUUCAUUAUGAUUUAGGUUCAGAUGUAUAAAUUUGGAAUGACAAAGAUUUGAUAAAAAGCAAAUUACCACUUGAUCUGAUGGAGAGCACAACUAAAAGGUCCUUAGUUGUGGACAUAUAGAUGUUCCAUCUCUAUACAUAACAAAUUUAAGAUAUAGCACCCAAAGCAAAGCCUACCAUAUAGAAGUGGACAUAUAGAUAUGGCA